CAACACUCAAGCCUAGCUUGGUCUUGGGCCUCGCCGGAAACGGCGGGCCUUAAAAGUAGUGGCGGCGCCCGCUGGGCUCUAAGCGUAGUAAUACUCCUCGCUAUAGGGACCCGGUGGAUGCUGGCCAGCAACCCCCAACUUUCUAA
rnacentral:misc_RNA from 1 species